UUUUUAUGCCCCACCUACGAUAGUAGAGGGGCAUUAUGUUUUCUGGUCUGUGCGUCCGUUCGUCCGUCCGUUCGUCCGUCCGUGCGUCCGUCUGUUCGUCCGUUCGUCCGUUCGUUCGUUCGUCCGUCUGUCCCACUUCAGGUUAAAGUUUUUGGUCAAGGUAGUUUUUGAUGAAGUUGAAGUCCAAUCAACUUGAAACUUAGUAUACAUGUGCCCUAUGAUAUGAUCUUUCUAAUUUAAAUGCCAAAUUAGAGUUUUGACCCCAAUUUUACGGUUCACUGAACAUAGAAAAUGAUAGUGCAAAUUUCAGGUUAAAGUUUUUGGUCAAGGUAGUUUUUGAUAAAGUAGAAGUCCAAUCAACUUGAAACUUAGUAUACAUGUUCCCUUUGAUAAGAUCAUUCUAACUUAAUGCCAAAUUAGAGAAUUUAUUCCAAUUUCACGGUCCACUAAACAUAGAAAAUGAUAGUUCGAGUGGGGCAUCCGUGUACUGUGGACACAUUAUUGUUA
rnacentral:lncRNA from 1 species